rnacentral:rRNA from 1 species
AUUGAACGCUGGCGGCAGGCUUAACACAUGCAAGUCGAGCGAGCGGCGGACGGGUGAGUAAUGUCUGGGAAACUGCCUGAAGGAGGGGGAUAACUACUGGAAACGGAAGCUAAUACCGCAUACCUUCAGAUGUGCCCAGAUGGGAUUAGAUAGUAGGUGGGGUAAUGGCUCAACUAGGCGACGAUCCCUAGCUGGGCGGAGAGGAUGACCAGAAACACUGUAACGUGAACACGGUGCAGAUUCCGAGGGGAGGCAGCAGUGGGGAAUAUUGGACAAUGAGCGAAAUCCUGAGGCAGCCAUGCCGCGGGGGUGAAGAAGGCCUCCGGGUUUUAAAGCACUUUCAGCGAGGAGGCGUUACUCGCAGAAGAAGCACCGGCUAACUCCGUGCCAGCAGCCGCGGUAAUAC